AGUGAACGCUGGCGGUAGGCCUAACACAUGCAAGUCGAACGGCAGCACAGUAAGAGCUUGCUCUUACGGGUGGCGAGUGGCGGACGGGUGAGGCAUACAUCGGAAUCUACUUUUUCGUGGGGGAUAACGUAGGGAAACUUACGCUAAUACCGCAUACGACCUACGGGUGAAAGCAGGGGAUCUUCGGACCUUGCGCGAUUGAAUGAGCCGAUGUCGGAUUAGCUAGUUGGCGGGGUAAAGGCCCACCAAGGCGACGAUCCGUAGCUGGUCUGAGAGGAUGAUCAGCCACACUGGAACUGAGACACGGUCCAGACUCCUACGGGGGGCAGCAGUGGGGAAUAUUGGACAAUGGGCGCAAGCCUGAUCCAGCCAUACCGCGUGGGUGAAGAAGGCCUUCGGGUUGUAAAGCCCUUUUGUUGGGAAAGAAAAGCAGCAGGUUAAUACCCCGCUGUUCUGACGGUACCCAAAGAAUAAGCACCGGCUAACUUCGUG
rnacentral:rRNA from 1 species